GGCAGAUACAACAGAAGGCAUUUACACUCACUGCCGUCUCACAGCGCUGGGUGAGGAGGUCUGUCCCGGGCUGGCUGGCUCUGCUUUGCAUUAGGAAAGCGAAGCUGUGGGGAAGGGUGCUGUGCAGCAGUGCUGUGCAGCUCUCCCUGUGCUGCUGCUGGCAUGGAGGGAUGCUGCUGGCACGGCUGUCCCUGCUGGCUGCGGAGGGAUGGAGAGCCGGUGCUUUGGGUAUGAAACCUCGC
rnacentral:lncRNA from 1 species